UUUUAUGGCUCAGUGGUAAAGCACUUGCCUGGCAAGUGUGAGGCACUGGGUUCCAUCCUCAGCACCACAUAAAAA
rnacentral:tRNA from 1 species